rnacentral:rRNA from 1 species
UACGUAGGGUGCGAGCGUUGUCCGGAAUUACUGGGCGUAAAGGGCUCGUAGGUGGUUUGUCGCGUCGUCUGUGAAAUUCCGGGGCUUAACUCCGGGCGUGCAGGCGAUACGGGCAUAACUUGAGUAUGUAGGGGUAACUGGGAAUUCCUGGUGUAGCGGUGAAAUGCGCAGAUAUCAGGAGGAACACCGAUGGCGAAGGCAGGUUACUGGGCAGUUACUGACGCUGAGGAGCGAAAGCAUGGGUAGCGAACAGGAUUAGAUACCCCGGUAGUCC